rnacentral:rRNA from 1 species
AGAGUUUGAUCAUGGCUCAGAAUCAACGCUGGCGGCGUGCCUCAGACAUGCAAGUCGAACGAUUAAAGCUCUCUUCGGAGAGUGCAUAGAGUGGCGUACGGGAGAGUAACACGUAAGUAAUCUACCCUCGGGUGGGGAAUAACUUAAGGAAACUUAAGCUAAUACCGCAUAAUGCAGCGGCUCCGUAUGGAGACAGUUGUUAAAGCAUUUAUGCGCCUGGGGAGGAGCUUGCGGCAGAUUAGCUAGUUGGUAGGGUAACGGCCUACCAAGGCAACGAUCUGUAGCCGGUCUAAGAGGACGGUCGGUCUCACUGACACUGAACAACGGGUCAGACUCCUACGGGAGGCAGCAGUCGGGAAUUUUGGGCAAUGGGCGAAAGCCUGACCCAGCAACGCCGCGUGAAGGAUGAAGUCUUUCGGGAUGUAAACUUCGGAAAUAUAGGAAGAAUAAAUGACGGUACUAUAUCUAAGGUCCGGCUAACUACGUGCCAGCAGCCGCGGUAAUACGUAGGGACCAAGCGUUGUUCGGAUUUACUGGGCGUAAAGGGUGCGUAGGCGGCGCUGCAAGUCACUUGUGAAAUCUCCGGGCUUAACUCGGAACGGCCAAGUGAUACUGCAGCGCUAGAGUGCAGAAUGGGCAACUGGAAUUCUUGGUGUAGCGGUGAAAUGCGUAGAUAUCAAGAGGAACACCUGAGGCGAAGGC